CCUACGGGAGGCAGCAGUAGGGAAUUUUGCGCAAUGGGGGAAAGCCUGACGCAGCAACACCGCGUGAAUGUCAAGCCCUUCGGGGUGUAAAGUUCUGUCAAUAGGGACGACUUUUGCCUGUACGUAUACAGGAAGCACCGGCUAACUCCGUGCCAGCAGCCGCGGUUAUACGGGGGGUGCCAGCGUUGUCCGGAAGCUUUGGGCGUAAAGCGUUUGUAUGCGGUAUGUCAAGUCUGAUGUUAAAGUCCUGGGUUCAACUCCGGGUCGGCAUUUGAUACUGGCAAACUAGAAUGGGGUAGAGGUAAAGGGAAUGCCUGGUGUAGCGGUGAAAUGCGUAGAUAUCGGGAAGAACAUCGGUGGCGAAAGCGCUUUACUGGACGAUUAUUGACGCUGAGGAACGAAAGCCAGGGGAGCGAAUGGGAUUAGAUACCCGAGUAGUC
rnacentral:rRNA from 1 species